UAGUCAUAUGCUUGUCUCAAAGAUUAAGCCAUGCAUGUCUAAGUAUAAACAAGUUUUAUACUGUGAAACUGCGCACAGCUCAUUAUAUCAGCAAUAAUUUAUUUGAUGGUACCUUACUACAUGGAUACCCGUAGUAAUUCUAGAGCUAAUACAUGCGUAAAGUCCCGACUCUUUUUGGGAAGGGAUGUAUUUAUUAGAUAAAAAACCAAUGGCUUCGGCCUUCUUUGGUGAUUCAUAGUAACUGUUCGAAUCGCAUGGCCUCGUGCUGGCGAUAGUU
rnacentral:rRNA from 1 species